GGCUUUUAUUUUUCUGGCUAAAGCAGACUCUCAUAUCCUAUAGAUGACUGUUGAGGAAGACAUUCAGCAGACUGUGCUCCUCUGUGAAUCUGGUCAAAGCUUUUGUGCUGAAACAUUUAUUCUGUUAAAAACACACUUGUUUGCUGGCACCCAGUCAUUUCAAAAGAACAGGCCUGUUCUAACACAUCUUCCAAAUGAUUUCAAAACUGGACAGGGAAGCAGAUUUCCAUCAAAACCAGCUUGGCUCCUCAUUGCUCCCUCGCUACUGUCCACCCGUUGGGCUGUCUGUGUAGGGGUGGUCCUGGACUUCAUCCCUGCUGGUGGUGGGAUCCUCAUGUGGCCCCACACUGUCCUACAACUACCAGUGCCAGGAACACCUCUGAGGCAGCAGGUUUUGGGGCUCCCAGACACCCUGGCCUGUUUGUGAGGCCACAGCUGACCUGGGAGUUUCUGUGCUUGGGCUUCCUUACACUCAGUACUUCUAGCAAAAGUAUUGAAAUAAUUUACAGUGGUUUGUAUUUUCAUUUCCAUACCCAGCUUUGAUACCUUCACUCUUCACUCUGGUGUGGUUUUUUUUGGUUCUCACAAAACUGCAAAGUUUUACUUAGAAAGAUUGCCCUGGAAGCUAGCUCUGGUCAUGGUAUGCACCUGGUUAACAUGGCCUAAGAAAUGAAGUGAGAAAAAUGUGUGAGAAUGUGGACUGCAAAUCAAGAGGGGAAUUUUCUGGUGUCAGAAAACAGGUUAAAACAGCUGCAUCAGGAAUGUGUAUGGAAUGAGAGAAGAAAGGAUGAAGCUGAUUUUCCUGAAGUAGAAUAGACCAGCCCAGUGAAAACAAUAAUUCCUCUCAGUAACAGGGGUUUAGACAAGGUUCACAGGAAUGGUAACUUCAGGAGAGCCUAUGGGAGAGGAUGAAUUCUGCUGCAGCCUUUCUACAUCAAAAAAGACCCUUUUCAGCACAAGAUCUUUAUGCUACUACUGAAGUGCAAGUCUCCCCCAUUGCUGGCUGGACUAAUCUGCUGUAGGACAUUGAAGAAAUACGAAAUGUUGAGGUCUCCAAAGCUGGAAGGACAGGCUGUAAAUAGAGGGGAAUUUAUACAUUCAGAUGGGGCAUUGAAAGAGAUUUCUGCCUCAUGCUGCAGGCUCAGAAGUCCUGAGGUACCGAUGAUUAAUCAAAGGGAUUUGAUAAUAGUACCAUGAAGAACUGGUGGGCACCACAAAACUGCAAAGUUACUGCAGCUCACCCUCUCACUGAUGUGAACGGGUACUAUAUUUACCCAGGAGAGUCAUGAAAAUUGCCAUGACAAUGAUUGUGGUUGCUUGGGAAUGCAAGAAGCUAAUUUUGCCCGAAUAAUAAGACACAGAGUCAUCUGUCUCCCUUGGUAAAGCAACAAGGAGUUUAUGCAGAAAUAUCCUGGCAUCUCUAAACAAACAGAAAAGCCCGUCCCAGUAAUGAAAAUUCCCCCGAGGCACCGAAGUUUGGGAAAGGACGUCUUGCUGGGCAGGCUGCAGCCGCAGGCUCAGUGUCCCGCAGGACGCCUCCGCCGUGAGCAGCACGAGGGGCUGAUUUUGUACACGCUUCUAAACGGCGCCAUUUCAGGCAUUCGCUGGCUUUUCCCCAGCCGGACACAGCAGUUCCCGGAAGGCUGAGGGGUGUUUUCUGCCGCACCUGAGCGCCAGCGGCAUCGAGCGAGCGGAGCCGCCGUCCCUGGGCAGCGCUCCCCGGCUGCGGCGCGGCGCGCCCGGCGCUCGGGCUCGGGCGCUGCCCCGCUCCGGCUCCGUCCGCGGGAGCCUUCAAAGGCGAUGGGCACAGGCGAAGGGAGCUGCUGGCUUUCAGACUGCUCCCAGGAAUCAGAUAAACACUCUCUCAGGGCUCAAAAGAAAUCUCGCUCUCACUCUUAAAAUUUUUUUU